rnacentral:rRNA from 1 species
ACUCCUACGGGAGGCAGCAGUAGGGAAUCUUCCACAAUGGGCGCAAGCCUGAUGGAGCAACACCGCGUGAGUGAAGAAGGGUUUCGGCUCGUAAAGCUCUGUUGUUAAAGAAGAACACGUAUGAGAGUAACUGUUCAUACGUUGACGGUAUUUAACCAGAAAGUCACGGCUAACUACGUGCCAGCAGCCGCGGUAAUACGUAGGUGGCAAGCGUUAUCCGGAUUUAUUGGGCGUAAAGAGAGUGCAGGCGGUUUUCUAAGUCUGAUGUGAAAGCCUUCGGCUUAACCGGAGAAGUGCAUCGGAAACUGGAUAACUUGAGUGCAGAAGAGGGUAGUGGAACUCCAUGUGUAGCGGUGGAAUGCGUAGAUAUAUGGAAGAACACCAGUGGCGAAGGCGGCUACCUGGUCUGCAACUGACGCUGAGACUCGGAAGCAUGGGUAGCGAACAGGAUUAGAUACCCUGGUAGGAUAGCG